UACAGAGGUCUCAAGCGUUGUUCGGAUUCAUUGGGCGUAAAGGGUGCGUAGGUGGCGCCGUAAGUCAGGUGUGAAAUUUCGAGGCUUAACCUCGAAACUGCAUUUGAUACUGCGGUGCUUGAGGACUGGAGAGGAGACUGGAAUUCAUGGUGUAGCAGUGAAAUGCGUAGAGAUCAUGAGGAAGACCAGUGGCGAAGGCGGGUCUCUGGACAGUUCCUGACACUGAGACACGAAGGCCAGGGGAGCAAACGGG
rnacentral:rRNA from 1 species